UUCCAAUCUACGCACCUGUCCUGGAUUCUGCUGAUGAGAGCAGCUGGCAUCUAAGCUCCUGGAAGUGAUCCAUUCCUCGCUGGAUUAUUCAGUGACACUGGACACUUAUUGGAGUGUGGAACUUGCCUUUUGCUGGAGCUUAAGGACUUGUGUAUUUGGAUUCCUCUCCUGGAAACUCUCACCUGGAAACCAACCAUCCUCUGUCCUGCCACUCUCUCUCUCUCUCCCUCGGACCUGGAACACAAAUGAACACCGAAACCUGGAACACUUACCUCCUGGAUUUCCCUUGCCUCUUCCUCCGAGCUGACCUCCCUCCCAAGAGCCUGAGGAACCCACUGCUUUGCAUUCACUGUAAAUAAACAUCAUUUAACUUUU